AACGAAUGCUGGCGGCAGGCUUAACACAUGCAAGUCGAGCGGACAUUUCGGUGUCAGCGGCGGACGGGUGAGUAAUGCAUAGAUAUCUGCCCUAAAGACUGGGAUAACUGUGGGAAACUGCAGCUAAUACUGGAUACGCCCUAAGGGGGAAAGCUUUUGUGCUUUAGGAUGAUUUUAUGUCGGAUUAGCUAGUUGGUGGGGUAAAGGCUUACCAAGGCGAUGAUCUGUAGCUGGUCUGAGAGGAUGAUCAGCCACACUGGAACUGAGACGCGGUCCAGACUCCUACGGGAGGCAGCAGUGGGGAAUAUUGGACAAUGGGGGAAACCCUGAUCCAGCCAUGCCGCGUGAAUGAAGAAGGCCUUAGGGUUGUAAAGUUCUUUCGAUGGGGAUGAUAAUGACCGUACCCAUAGAAGAAGCCCCGGCUAACUCCGCGCCAGCCGCCGCCGUAA
rnacentral:rRNA from 1 species